CCUACGGGUGGCAGCAGUGAGGAAUAUUGGUCAAUGGACGAGAGUCUGAACCAGCCAAGUAGCGUGAAGGAUGACUGCCCUAUGGGUUGUAAACUUCUUUUAUAAAGGAAUAAAACGAGGCACGUGUGCCUUUUUGUAUGUACUUUAUGAAUACGGAUCGGCUAACUCCGUGCCAGCAGCCGCGGUAAUACGGAGGAUCCGAGCGUUAUCCGGAUUUAUUGGGUUUAAAGGGAGCGUAGAUGGGUUGUUAAGUCAGUUGUGAAAGUUUGCGGCUCAACCGUAAAAUUGCAAUUGAUACUGGCAGUCUUGAGUACAGUUGAGGUAAGCGGAAUUCGUGGUGUAGCGGUGAAAUGCUUAGAUAUCACGAAGAACCCCGAUUGCGAAGGCAGCUUACUAAACUGUGACUGACAUUGAUGCUCGAAAGUGUGGGUAUCAAACAGGAGUAGAUACCCGUGUAGUC
rnacentral:rRNA from 1 species